rnacentral:rRNA from 1 species
GGAUGAACGCUGGCGGCGUGCUUAAUACAUGCAAGUCGAACGGAGACUGUAGCAAUACUGUCUUAGUGGCGAACGGGUGAGUAACGCGUUGGUGACCUGCCCCGAAGAGGGGGAUAACAGUCCGAAAGGAUUGCUAAUACCCCAUGUGGUCGUUUGGAUUAGAUGCCUUACGACUAAACGGAUUUAUUCGCUUCGGGAGGGGCCUGCGUCCCAUCAGCUAGUUGGUAGGGUAAUAGCCUACCAAGGCAACGAUGGAUAGGGGAACUGAGAGGUUUAUCCCCCACACUGGUACUGAGACACGGACCAGACUCCUACGGGAGGCAGCAGUGAGGAAUAUUGGUCAAUGGACGCAAGUCUGAACCAGCCACGUCGCGUGAAGGAAGACGGCCCUACGGGUUGUAAACUUCUUUUGUAAGGGAAUAAAGUGUAGUACGCGUACUAUUUUGCAUGUACCUUACGAAUAAGGAUCGGCUAACUCCGUGCCAGCAGCCGCGGUAAUACGGAGGAUCCGAGCGUUAUCCGGAUUUAUUGGGUUUAAAGGGUGCGCAGGCGGGAGAUUAAGUCGGCGGUGAAAUUUUGCAGCUCAACUGUAGAAGUGCCUUCGAAACUGGUUUUCUUGAGUGUGGAUGAAGUAGGCGGAAUUUGUGGUGUAGCGGUGAAAUGCAUAGAUAUCACGAGGAACUCCGAUUGCGCAGGCAGCUUACUAAACUACUACUGACGCUCAGGCACGAAGGCGUGGGGAUCAAACAGGAUUAGAUACCCUGGUAGUCCACGCAGUAAACGAUGAUUACUAGCUGUUUGCGAUAUACAGUAAGCGGCUUAGCGAAAGCGUUAAGUAAUCCACCUGGGGAGUACGUUCGCAAGAAUGAAACUCAAAGGAAUUGACGGGGGCCCGCACAAGCGGAGGAACAUGUGGUUUAAUUCGAUGAUACGCGAGGAACCUUACCCGGGCUUGAAAUGCAUCUGACAGGGGCAGAGACGCCCUCUUCCUUCGGGACAGAUGUGUAGGUGCUGCAUGGUUGUCGUCAGCUCGUGCCGUGAGGUGUCGGCUUAAGUGCCAUAACGAGCGCAACCCUCAUCAUUAGUUACCAUCAGGUCAAGCUGGGGACUCUAAUGAGACUGCCAUCGUAAGAUGCGAGGAAGGUGGGGAUGACGUCAAAUCAGCACGGCCCUUACGUCCGGGGCGACACACGUGUUACAAUGGGUGGUACAAAGGGCAGCUACAUGGCGACAUGAUGCUAAUCUCCAAAACCACUCUCAGUUCGGAUCGGAGUCUGCAACUCGACUCCGUGAAGCUGGAUUCGCUAGUAAUCGCGCAUCAGCCACGGCGCGGUGAAUACGUUCCCGGGCCU